UUUAAGCUCUAUAACGUUAUUAUACGUUGCGGUGUUACAUUCGUUUAAAAACGCGCACGUUUUGAAAGAAAACUCUUACAAACUGUAAAGACAAUUUUUUGCAGUUUUUUUUUUGCUAAAUAAAACAAGAACUAGUUUCAGAAAGAAACCUUUAAUUUGCAAAAAAAUGUGUUAAUAUAAACAAUAAAUUUGUUAAUUAUUUAACUAAUGAAGAAAACGGUUAAGAAAAAAACCUUAAAGAAAACUUUUAAGGAAAUUUGUUAAAAAAAUCAAUAAAAAACUGAAAAACUCAAUAUUCUUUCGCUGUCAGUCUCUUUAACUCCUUUAUAAUGAGUGUUUUUCAUUAUUAUUCUCGCAAAAAAACGAGUGUAUUUUCUGGCAGGAGCUUAAAA